UAGGGAAUCUUCCACAAUGGACGAAAGUCUGAUGGAGCAACGCCGCGUGAGUGAUGAAGGGUUUCGGCUCGUAAAACACUGUUGUUGGAGAAGAACAGGUGUGAGAGUAACUGUUCACAUCUUGACGGUAUCCAACCAGAAAGCCACGGCUAACUACGUGCCAGCAGCCGCGGUAAUACGUAGGUGGCAAGCGUUGUCCGGAUUUAUUGGGCGUAAAGCGAGCGCAGGCGGUUUUUUAGGUCUGAUGUGAAAGCCUUCGGCUUAACCGGAGAAGUGCAUCGGAAACCGGGAGACUUGAGUGCAGAAGAGGACAGUGGAACUCCAUGUGUAGCGGUGAAAUGCGUAGAUAUAUGGAAGAACACCAGUGGCGAAGGCGGCUGUCUGGUCUGUAACUGACGCUGAGGCUCGAAAGCAUGGGUAGCGAACAGGAUUAGAUACCCUGGUAGUCCAUGCCGUAAACGAUGAGUGCUAAGUGUUGGAGGGUUUCCGCCCUUCAGUGCUGCAGCUAACGCAUUAAGCACUCCG
rnacentral:rRNA from 1 species